rnacentral:rRNA from 1 species
GCGUCAACCCUCGUCGUGUGUUACAAGUGUCACUACGAGACCGCCGGUUUUAAGCCGGAGAAAGGUGAGGAUGAAGUCAAGUCAGCAUGGCCUUUAUAUCCUGGGCUACACACACGCUACAAUGGCUGGUACAAUUGGUCGCGAAACCGCGAGGUGGAGCCAAUCCUAAAAGCCAGCCUCAGUUCAGAUUGUAGGCUGCAACUCGCCUGCAUGAAGAUGGAGUUGCCAGUAAACGCAGGUCAGCAUUACUGCGUUGAAUACGUUCCCGGGGACUU